rnacentral:rRNA from 1 species
UACGGAGGGUGCGAGCGUUAUCCGGAAUCACUGGGCGUAAAGGGCGCGUAGGCGGUUUGUUAAGUCCGUUGUCAAAGACCGGGGCUCAACCCCGGAAUGGCAGUGGGUACUGGCAGGCUGGACGGCUGGAGAGGCGAGUGGAAUUACCAGUGUAGCGGUGGAAUGCGUAGAUACUGGUAGGAACACCCAUGGCGAAGGCAGCUCGCUGGACAGCUCGUGACGCUGAGGCGCGAAAGUGUGGGGAGCGAACCGGAUUAGAAACCCCCGUAGUCC